GGCUGAUUCCCCCGGAAUGGAGCAGCGAGCCAGUAACGGCAGUGAAAACCGUUCACUUCUGAACACCACAAUAUUGCAUUGACACCCGGAUUUGCGACACAUUUAAACCUACCAGUUUUUACGUUGGAUUCCCGAGGAAAACGUUCUGGAUUUGUGACACUGGUUGCUGUUGGCCAAUGUUCUGAAACUACAGAACACAGUGAGCCAAUUCUCUGAUCCUGGUGUGGUGGUCUGGGGGAGGAGUCUCUGAGCACAUCCUGGUGUGGUGGUCUGGGGGAGGAGUCUGAGUCUUGCAGGAAAUCACGC
ensembl:lncRNA